GAAAACAAAACCAAAGGCCUCCACACAGGCACCCAAGGAGCGUAAAAGCGCGAAGGCGCCUCAGUGACUCCCACUUGGCCAUGACGCAGUGUUUCUCCAGCUCUCGUUUCCAGUAAGUCAGCGGUGUGCAGUAAGCUCUGCUCUUUUCUCCCCCAGUGCCUCCCUCCCCAGUGGUCCCUCGAGCAGCCCGGGGAGCGUCCCUGCCACUGUGCCCGUGCAGAUGCCAAAGCCCAGCAGAGUCCAGCAGGCGCUCGCAGGAGCGACCCCGAAGCCAGAGCCAGAGCCAGAGCAGGUCAUAAAAAACUACACGGAAGAGCUGAAAGUGCCCCCAGAUGAGGACUGCAUCAUCUGCAUGGAGAAGCUGUCCGCAGCGUCUGGAUACAGUGAUGUGACUGACAGCAAGGCAGUCGGGCCCCUGGCUGUGGGCCGCCUCACCAAGUGCAGCCACGCCUUCCACCUGCUGUGCCUCCUGGCCAUGUACUGCAACGGCAAUAAG
rnacentral:sRNA from 1 species